AUUAAGGUCCUGCCUGCCAGUGAACACUUUAACGGCCGCGGUACCAUAACCGUGCAAAGGUAGCGUAAUCACUUGUCUCCUAAAUAGAGACCUGUAUGAAUGGCCACAUGAGGGCGCAUCUGUCUCCUUGGGCCAAUCAAUGAAACUGAUCUACCAGUACAAAAGCUGAUAUACACCUAUAAGACGAGAAGACCCUGUGGAGCUUUAAAUUUAAACACUAACCCACCCACUCCCUAUGCUUCAGAAAUACUUAUUUUUUAAACAUAGUGUUAAUUUUCAGUUGGGGCGACUACGGAACAAAAAAAAUCUUCCAUGACCCAGGCUCUAUGCCUUCCAAGAUAAACAUAUCGACGAAAAACACCACCGACCCAGUAAAUACUGCUCAUCGAACCAAGUUACCCCAGGGAUAACAGCGCCAUCCCCUUUAAGAGUCCAUAUCGCCAAGGGGGCUUACGACCUCGAUGUUGGAUCAGGACACCCCGGUGGUGCAGCCCCUACCAAAGGUUCGUUUGUUCAACGAUUAAUGUCCUACGUGAUC
rnacentral:rRNA from 1 species